GAUGAACGCUGGCGGCGUGCCUAAUACAUGCAAGUCGAGCGAACAGACGAGGAGCUUGCUCCUCUGACGUUAGCGGCGGACGGGUGAGUAACACGUGGAUAACCUACCUAUAAGACUGGGAUAACUUCGGGAAACCGGAUCUUAUACCGGAUAAUAUAUUGAACCGCAUGGUUCAAUAGUGAAAGACGGUUUUGCUGUCACUUAUAGAUGGAUCCGGGCCGCUUUAGAUAGUUGGUAAGGUAACGGCUUACCAAGGCUACGAUGCGUAGCCGACGGGAGAGGGGGGUCGCCCGCACGGGAGCUGGGCCGGGGUCCUGAGGCCUACGAGAGGGAGCAGUAGGGAACGGGCCGCAACGGGGGAGAGCCUGACGGAGCAGCGCGGAGUGAGAGAUGAAGGUCCUCGGAUCGGAAAGCUGGGUUAUGAGGGGUGAACAAAUGUGUAAGUAAAUGUGGACGUAGUGACGGUACCUGGUAAGAAAGCCACGGCUAACUACGUG
rnacentral:rRNA from 1 species